rnacentral:tRNA from 1 species
GCCCUCAUGGUACAGCAGUUAAGUACUUGGCUCCCAACCAAAAUGUUGGUGGUUUAAACCCACCUAGCAGCU